UUGCCUGCAUAGUUAGAUUCCG
rnacentral:siRNA from 1 species